GCCCGCGCAGAGGGCUGUAGACUGGCCCAGCAGCGGAAUUAACUCCUCCUGCAGUAUCAAGGGCCAAGCUGUUGCUAGACAAAGUGGAGGAGAGAAUCCUCACCAUUCAGACAGCUCAGCUUUGGGCAAAGAGGAACCAAAGGAAACCCAGGGAAGCAGCCAGGGGCUCGGCAGGGAUGGCCACCAACAAAACCCCGGAGGGAUUUCUUCUGAGGUUCAGAACUUCCAGAGUUGCUAGGAGUGAAGAUGAGAGGACUGGCUUCUCCCAAUACUUCCUUUGUCAUUCCGAUCCUGCUGGACAAAAACUGAUCUUCAAUCUUUCAUAGGUUGGGAUUUUUCUUUUUCAAAAAAAAAAAAAAACCCUGUGUUGGCUCCCACAUGCCCCCAAAACAGGGACAACAGUAUGGGCAGGACGCCUGCAAAGGACUACUCUACACGUGGCCUGCAGAGGCAGGGAGCCUGUGGGAAAAUGCCUCUUGAAUGGGUUUUUACACGACCUGGCAAGGGGUGGGCCAACCUGGCCGUGAU
rnacentral:lncRNA from 1 species